CAUUGAGAAGCUAAACAGCAUUAACCUUUUAAGUUAAAGAUUGGAAGUGAAAAUCUCCCCUCAAUGA
rnacentral:tRNA from 1 species